rnacentral:rRNA from 1 species
UCUAGCUUGCUAGAGUGGAUUAGUGGCGCACGGGUGAGGAAUAUAUAGCUAAUGUGCCCCAUAGAGGGGGAUAACAGUUGGAAACGACUGCUAAUACCCCAUACUCCUUCUUCUCAUAAGGGAAGUCGGGAAAGUUUUUUCGCUAUGGGAUCGGGCUAUACGGUAUCAGCUUGUUGGUGAGGUAACGGCUCACCAAGGCUAUGACGCCUAUCUGGUCUGAGAGGAUGAUCAGACACACUGGAACUGAGACACGGUCCAGACUCCUACGGGAGGCAGCAGUGGGGAAUAUUACACAAUGGAGGCAACUCUGAUGUAGCAACGCCGCGUGGAGGAUGACACAUUUCGGUGCGUAAACUCCUUUUAUAUAGGAAGAUAAUGACGGUACUAUAUGAAUAAGCACCGGCUAACUCCGUGCCAGCAGCCGCGAUAAUACGGAGGGUGCAAGCGUUACUCGGAAUCACUGGGCGUAAAGCGCGCGCAGGCGGCCCCUUAAGUUGGAUGUGAAAUCCUAUGGCUCAACCAUAGAACUGCAUCCAAAACUGAGGGGCUAGAGUCUGGGAGGGGAAGAUGGAAUUAGUGGUGUAGGGGUAAAAUCCGUAGAGAUCACUAGGAAUACCAAAAGCGAAGGCGAUCUUCUGGAACAGUACUGACGCUGAGGCGCGAAAGCGUGGGGAGCAAACAGGAUUAGAUACCCUGGUAGUCCACGCCCUAAACUAUGAAUGUUAGUCGUCGGGAGGCUCGUCCUCUCGGCGAUGCAGCUAACGCAUUAAACAUUCCGCCUGGGGAGUACGGUCGCAAGAUUAAAACUCAAAGGAAUAGACGGGGACCCGCACAAGUGGUGGAGCAUGUGGUUUAAUCCGAAGAUACGCGAAGAACCUUACCUGGCCUUGACAUUGAUAGAAUCUGCUAGAGAUAGCGGAGUGCCCUUCGGGGAGCUUGAAAACAGGUGCUGCACGGCUGUCGUCAGCUCGUGUCGUGAGAUGUUGGGUUAAGUCCGCAACGAGCGCAACCCUCGUCACUAGUUACUAACGGUUCGGCCGAGGACUCUAGUGAG